rnacentral:lncRNA from 1 species
GUUGAACAGGUUCCAUGACUCAAGGCUCAUCAUCAUCGUCAGAUUUCGCAAGUGAUUUCGAUUUCGAAUGUGUAGCGCAUAUCCUGCAGUCGUUCAUGAACAAAUGGAAUGUAUACACCCAAUCAUCCACUACCCAGCGAAGACCUAAUUUUCUCGCUUUAUUAUUUCUCAUUUUAUGUACAUACAAACAUAUGUAUAUACAUAUUCCUUUUUUUGUUGCUUUUCUGUUAAACAAUUUUUUUAUCGAUGGUAUACGCACGCGCGAAUUUCAGUGCUCCCGCCGAGACGGCAGCUACCAACAUUUGGAGCCCCCGAUCACCACCAUACAGAAAUCAAGUGGUGGAGCAGCAGCAAGAGAGCGUGCAAAGCUCAGAGACCCAAAGAGAUACACACACACACACACAAACACAACUGUAGCGUGUUGUUGAAUUAAUUUUUAUCCAACAGUGCGCUUUCAACUUUAUUGCGCCGCGAAAAUCAGGCAGCCACAGUCCCCAGUCCGAGCAACAGUCCUCACUCCCAGCCAGUCAGUGAUCCCCCCCACAAACCCACACACCAGCGCACACCAGCAUGAGGCACACACCUAUACACACAGAGAAGCUCCGGACCGUGGGAAACAAACUCGUGCCAGUCGUUUCAUUGCUGUCAAAUAAUAUCUUGAUGGGGAUCAACUUGAAAAGAUUGGUUGGGGCUUGGGCUGGGUCUGGGGACUUGGACUGGGGCUCGGGGAUCGAGUCUCUGUCUCUGAGUCUGGCCUGUUGCCGACGCUGCACUAUGG